UGGGCCUUGCAGCCAGCUCGGGGUCCAAGGGGCACUCCUGCGGUGCUGCAAAGGAGGAUUUGUGACAACCCAGAGGAUGGAGGAAACGGCGGCUUUGAAAAGGUUUGUGAGCAGCCCCCGGUCCCCUGCCGCUCCGUGAGAAAUCAAACUUCAGGCACUGACGAAGCAUGAAGCCAGCAUCUUAGGAAGAGGUAGUGACAUAAUUACAAGGGCGACCGGAUUACAAUCACAGCCAGCAUGAACAUGGGGCGGCGCACAGUCCUGAAGAGGAAAGCCGGGCUGUGUUGACCUCGCUGUGCAUGCUGGGAGUUGUAGUCUCUUCACUGCUCCCGCCCGUUGUUUCAGGCACUUCGGGACUACAAUCCCAGCAUGACCCGGGCUCGGGGACGGGGCGCAGUUCUCGUGGGAGGAGCGGGGCGGUGAGAGCCUGGCUAGGCAGGCUGGAAACAGUAGCUCUUAACGGUCCCCCGCCCGUUGGUGGCAAGGCGGCUGGACUGGAAUCCCAGCAGGCGACAUGCGAGGAGGCGGGCAGCCCAGGAGGGUUGGACACGGCAAUGUGGACCUCGCCGCUUCCACAACGAUGCUGGCUACUGAUCGCGUGCACUUCCUUGCCAAAGAAAAUUUGUGCUGUGCACUAACAUGCAAUACAAAUACUGAUGAAAAUAAAACUAUUGCCCUCCUACCAAAUGAGAAAUUAAUGUUAUGACUGGAUGAAGACAAUUGUGAAGAAACUGCACUUUGAGGUUGUCUAUCUCUGUAUUCUGAUGGAAAAGCGUGGAGUUUAGAAGCACUGCUCACUCCUUCAGUUUCUAACAAGUUUGAGACUAUGGUUAGGUGGUGAGGAAGGCAGGCUCAGCACCCAAGCCUUGGGGAGACGCAGAAAGGGCCCAUCCCAGGCACUCAGGUGGAGUAAAACUGAUGCUCCAGAAAGAUGCCCAGGGAGAUUCUGUCCUGCUGCGUCCGCACUGUACAGAACUGACGCUGUGCCUACGCCCGUUUCAGAAGCGUGGAGUACUUAAGAGUUAAUCUAAAAAAGCAAAUAUAAAAAUGGAUUCAAAAAAA